rnacentral:rRNA from 1 species
CCCUACACUAACGUAUCGGAUUAUUGGGCGUAAGAGCUCGUAGGCGGUUUGUCGCGUCUGCUGUGAAAGACCGGGGCUCAACUCCGGUUCUGCAGUGGGUACGGGCAGACUAGAGUGCAGUAGGGGAGACUGGAAUUCCUGGUGUAGCGGUGAAAUGCGCAGAUAUCAGGAGGAACACCGAUGGCGAAGGCAGGUCUCUGGGCUGUAACUGACGCUGAGGAGCGAAAGCAUGGGGAGCGAACAGGAUUAGAUACCCUGGUAGUCCAUGCCGUAAACGUUGGGCACUAGGUGUGGGGGACAUUCCACGUUUUCCGCGCCGUAGCUAACGCAUUAAGUGCCCCGCCUGGGGAGUACGGCCGCAAGGCUAAAACUCAAAGGAAUUGACGGGGGCCCGCACAAGCGGCGGAGCAUGCGGAUUAAUUCGAUGCAACGCGAAGAACCUUACCAAGGCUUGACAUGAACCGGUAAUACCUGGAAACAGGUGCCCCGCUUGCGGUCGGUUUACAGGUGGUGCAUGGUUGUCGUCAGCUCGUGUCGUGAGAUGUUGGGUUAAGUCCCGCAACGAGCGCAACCCUCGUUCUAUGUUGCCAGCGGUUCGGCCGGGGACUCAUAGGAGACUGCCGGGGUCAACUCGGAGGAAGGUGGGGACGACGUCAAAUCAUCAUGCCCCUUAUGUCUUGGGCUUCACGCAUGCUACAAUGGCCGGUACAAAGGGUUGCGAUACUGUGAGGUGGAGCUAAUCCCAAAAAGCCGGUCUCAGUUCGGAUUGGGGUCUGCAACUCGACCCCAUGAAGUCGGAGUCGCUAGUAAUCGCAGAUCAGCAACGCUGCGGUGAAUACGUUCCCGGGCCUUGUACACACCGCCCGUCAAGUCACGAAAGUUGGUAACACCCGAAGCCGGUGGCCUAACCCUUGUGGGGGGAGCCGUCGAAGUGGGACCGGCGAUUGGGACUAAGUCGACACAAGAGUAAUACCUAAU